UUCGGCUUAUUUCCUCACCAGGUGGCAGCACUGCCUUCUUUGGACACAGAAACUGUGGCGGCGAAUGCGCCACUGUGUUUUGCACUGUGUGGAGUCCGUGCGGUGUCGGUCCGGGGGACUGAAUUUCGGUGAAUUUGAUAGCAAUUGAUUUGAAUUUUGCUCAGAUAGGUUGUGAAUUUAUAUUCAGCAGGUGUCACAAACAUGGAAAGGCAAGUUUACAAAGGACAGGAGACUUAGCAAGGCUUCAAUUGACGUAGCUGAAGAGAGGCGAGAAGCCGAAGAUAGACCGACUCCAAACGGUGCCCAGUGCAAUCAUGCUUCUGGUGCGGAGUUGUCAGGAUGGAGUCCGAGGAAUCAAGGAAGGCAGAGGACCUGCGUAUGAAGGAACCAGCCCUGCGGAUGAAGUUCCGAGGUGCAUACAGAGGGAUCCCACUGAAAGACCAGGUGCAAUGCUGCAUUGAUAAGAUCCAGAUUCAAGAGCAUGGAUGCUACCAGAUCCUGUGAUUUGAAGUUACCAGUGUCACUGCUGCUACAAAUGACAUCAGCAACACUUCCUUUGGUGAAAGUUAAGAGGAGCAAACAGUUGGUGCUCUGUGUAGUCAAGCAGUGGAGUUUUGCCACAAUCAUGAAGUUGAUUAAGGUGUCAAUUUUUGCUCUGGCUUCUGGGACACCUUGGAUCUACAUUGCAACCUAUGCUAGUGUUCAACAUUUUCGUGUCAUAGUAUCACUGAUGCAAAGCGUGUUGCAUCAUACACAAAUGAGAGCCAGCAAAUUGUCAGAUAUUUUCUAGUGAUAGAGAACUGCACGCCUUAAGCAAUUGUUGAAGGUGAUAAGUGGUGAAUGGUAGGGCUCAGCCACUCAGCUCCUUCCUUCAAAAGCUAUCAAUCAGCUCUAGAAGAGUAGUCAUAGCAAUGCUUCAUGUGUGAAGGCUACUUGACUGAACAGAACAUUGUGGAUUUGUUAAUUAAGUAUCUCUUUAUUACAAGUUUGUGCCCAUUACAAGCCAAGCUUAGUUUACUUCGUUUGUUGCAAGUUUUCCAGGCAGCCUUCACACUUGUGUCGCUGAAUAUUCAACUUUAACUGAAUACCGACGAGAUAUUGUCCCUUUCGCAUCAGAUUGUAAUCAGUCAGUCGUGUUGGUAGAAGGUACAGUCUGUCUUAAAAGUAUCGCGCAAAGUGACGGUGGAUCCAUCAAGCGUGACCGAGGAAGGGCCUGCUAUAAUUUGAAAGUCACCGAGCCAAUUGACCUGGGGAACGGACGAGGAUGUCAUGUAGAGCCACGCAGAAAUCGCCGGUGAUUCGUUGCCCAUCAUUACAGAAUGAACGCAUGCCGGAUGAAGGGUUAAGUCAAUAGUCUGUACAAACUAUACACAGAGAUGUGAUUGACUUAUCUGACAGUGACGAGCGCUAGAGGUCAACUUCAGACGGUAGGUAUGCGUUAUUGUCAUGGAAUGUGUGCUGCAAAUCGAUUGUUUCAUGCGUGUGAAUAUAUGACUGAAUGUAAUAAGGUUUUUAAUUUCAACUGUGUAAGUUAAAAUAUGUGAUAACAUCGUAUCUUUCGUACUCCGUAGCUUUUGGUGACCAUUCGAUCAGCUCCCUUUCCUUCCACUCAAUGACGAUGUAGUAGUUUGCCUUUCACACGCGUCAUUGUCUUCCUGA